GAUGAACGCUGGCGGCGUGCCUAAUACAUGCAAGUCGAGCGGUAAGGCUUCUUCGGAAGUACACGAGCGGCGGACGGCUGAGUAAUGCAUAGGAACGUACCCCAAACUGGGGGAUAAGCCACCGAAAGGUGGUCUAAUACCGCAUGUGCUCUUCGGAGUAAAGCUACGGCGGUUUGGGAGCGGCCUAUGUUCGAUUAGCUUGUUGGUGAGGUAAUGGCUCACCAAGGCGACGAUCGAUAGCGGGUCUGAGAGGAUGAUCCGCCAGACUGGAACUGAGACACGGUCCAGACUCCUACGGGAGGCAGCAGUAGGGAAUUUUCCACAAUGGGGGCAACCCUGAUGGAGCAACGCCGCGUGCAGGAUGAAGGCCUUCGGGUUGUAAACUGCUUUUCUCUGUGAUGAUUAUGACAGUAGCAGAGGAAUAAGGAUCGGCCAACUCCGUGCCAGCAGCCGCCGCCG
rnacentral:rRNA from 1 species